UGACUGCGUACCUUUUGUAUAAUGGGUCAGCGACUUAUAUUCUGUAGCAAGGUUAACCGUAUAGGGGAGCCGGAGGGAAACCGAGUCUUAACCGGGCGUUAAGUUGCAGGGUAUAGACCCGAAACCCGGUGAUCUAGCCAUGGGCAGGUUGAAGGUUGGGUAACACUAACUGGAGGACCGAACCGACUAAUGUUGAAAAAUUAGCGGAUGACCUGUGGCUGGGGGUGAAAGGCCAAUCAAACCGGGAGAUAGCUGGUUCUCCCCGAAAGCUAUUUAGGUAGCGCCUCGUGAAUUCAUCUCCGGGGGUAGAGCACUGUUUCGGCUAGGGGGCCAUCCCGGCUUACCAACCCGAUGCAAACUGCGAAUACCGGAGAAUGUUAUCACGGGAGACACACGGCGGGUGCUAACGUCCGUCGUGAAGAGGGAAACAACCCAGACCGCCAGCUAAGGUCCCAAAGUCAUGGUUAAGUGGGAAACGAUGUGGGAAGGCCCAGACAGCCAGGAUGUUGGCUUAGAAGCAGCCAUCAUUUAAAGAAAGCGUAAUAGCUCACUGGUCGAGUCGGCCUGCGCGGAAGAUGUAACGGGGCUAAACCAUGCACCGAAGCUGCGGCAGCGAACGUAUCACCCAAGACAACUUUACGGAGUUGACGAUUGACGGAGCGAAGCGACGUCAAAGCGUUCAUUAAAGUCGAGUUGGCUUAGGGAUACGUUCGUUGGGUAGGGGAGCGUUCUGUAAGCCUGUGAAGGUGUGUCGUGAGGCAUGCUGGAGGUAUCAGAAGUGCGAAUGCUGACAUAAGUAACGAUAAAGCGGGUGAAAAGCCCGCUCGCCGGAAGACCAAGGGUUCCUGUCCAACGUUAAUCGGGGCAGGGUGAGUCGACCCCUAAGGCGAGGCCGAAAGGCGUAGUCGAUGGGAAACGGGUUAAUAUUCCCGUACUUGGUGUUACUGCGAAGGGGGGACGGAGAAGGCUAUGUUGGCCGGGCGACGGUUGUCCCGGUUUAAGCGUGUAGGUGUGUGUUCCAGGUAAAUCCGGUUCACUUUAACACUGAGGCGUGACGACGAGGCACUACGGUGCUGAAGCAACAAAUGCCCUGCUUCCAGGAAAAGCCUCUAAGCAUCAGGUAACACGAAAUCGUACCCCAAACCGACACAGGUGGUCAGGUAGAGAAUACCAAGGCGCUUGAGAGAACUCGGGUGAAGGAACUAGGCAAAAUGGUGCCGUAACUUCGGGAGAAGGCACGCUGACACGUAGGUGAAGUGAUUUACUCAUGGAGCUGAAGUCAGUCGAAGAUACCAGCUGGCUGCAACUGUUUAUUAAAAACACAGCACUGUGCAAACACGAAAGUGGACGUAUACGGUGUGACGCCUGCCCGGUGCCGGAAGGUUAAUUGAUGGGGUCAGCG
rnacentral:rRNA from 1 species